rnacentral:rRNA from 1 species
CAAUAAGCGGAGGAAAAGAAACCAACAGGGAUUGCCCUAGUAACGGCGAGCGAAGCGGCAACAGCUCAAAUUUGAAAUCUGGCUACUUUGUAGUCCGAGUUGUAAUUUGUAGAGGAUGCUUUUGGUGAGGUGCCUUCCGAGUUCCCUGGAACGGGACGCCAGAGAGGGUGAGAGCCCCGUACGGUUGGAUACCAAACCUUUGUAUAGCUCCUUCAACGAGUCGAGUAGUUUGGGAAUGCUGCUCUAAAUGGGAGGUAUAUCUCUUCUAAAGCUAAAUAUAGGCUAGAGACCGAUAGCGCACAAGUAGAGUGAUCGAAAGAUGAAAAGCACUUUGAAAAGAGAGUUAAACAGCACGUGAAAUUGUUGAAAGGGAAGCGCCUAUGACCAGACUUGUUUCUUUCAGUUUUGUUAGUUCUCGGACUGAUUUACUCUGUUAGUACAGGCCAGCAUCAGUUUGUUGUCGGGGAGAAAGGCUUAGGGAAUGUGGCUCCUUCGGGAGUGUUAUAGCCCUUUGCAUAAUACCCUUCGGCAGACUGAG